UACGAAGGGGGCGAGCGUUGUUCGGAUUUACUGGGCGUAAAGGGCGCGCAGGCGGCAGAUCAAGUCAGGCGUGAAAGCCCCGGGCUUAACCUGGGAACGGCGCCUGGGACUGGUUUGCUCGAGUUCGGGAGAGGAGCGUGGAAUUCCCAGUGUAGAGGUGAAAUUCGUAGAUAUUGGGAAGAACACCGGUGGCGAAGGCGGCGCUCUGGACCGAGACUGACGCUGAGGCGCGAAAGCGUGGGGAGCAAACAGG
rnacentral:rRNA from 1 species